GCCGCGCCGCCCCGAGCCCCGUGGUCGCCCCCGCCGGCGUCCCUCCACCCCAGCCAAGCCCGAUCGGUCCUCAGCGGGGCCUGCCCUGCCCACCCCGCGGCAGCAUCCCUCCCAAAGACAAAGCAGCCGGCAACCUGGCCCACUCCUCUCCAGCAGGGUCGACCCUGAGCCCCAGCUGAAUGGAGUAAAGCAGGGGAACAGGUGGGAGAAUGUGCCAAGAAUCACCCAGGUGCCUCCAGGGCUUGAGGACCGGAACUCACCAGGUGCUCCUCUCCUUCUCCUGUUUUGUUCCCAAGGUGAACAUAGAGCCCUGCAUGUAGUAGACUCUCAGAUACCUAUUAGAUGAGUUAAUGGAUGGCUUUAUAACUGGAAACCUGCGUGGAUUAAUGAGUGAAUAAAUGGCCAAUUAACUAAUUGGA